rnacentral:rRNA from 1 species
GACGAACGCUGGCGGCGUGCUUAACACAUGCAAGUCGAACGGAAAGGCCCUGCUUUUGUGGGGUGCUCGAGUGGCGAACGGGUGAGUAACACGUGAGUAACCUGCCCUUGACUUUGGGAUAACUUCAGGAAACUGGGGCUAAUACCGGAUAGGAGCUCCUGCUGCAUGGUGGGGGUUGGAAAGUUUCGGCGGUUGGGGAUGGACUCGCGGCUUAUCAGCUGGUUGGUGGGGUAGUGGCUUACCAAGGCGUUGACGGGUAGCCGGCCUGAGCGGGUGACCGGCCACAUUGGGACUGCGAUACGGCCCAGACUCCUACGGGAGGCAGCAGUGGGGAAUAUUGCACAAUGAGCGGAAGCCUGAUGCAGCAACGCCGCGUGCGGGAUGACGGCCUUCGGGUUGUAAACCGCUUUCGCCUGUGACGAAGCGUGAGUGACGGUAAUGGGUAAAGAAGCACCGGCUAACUACGUG